GACGAACGCUGGCGGCGUGCCUAAUACAUGCAAGUUGAGCGCUGAAGGUUGGUCCUUGUCCCUACUGGUUGAGCAGCGAACGGGUGAGUAACGCGUGGGGAAUCUGCCUUUGAGCGGGGGACAACAUUUGGAAACGAAUGCUAAUACCGCAUAAAAACUUUAAACACAAGUUUUAAGUUUGAAAGAUGCAAUUGCAUCACUCAAAGAUGAUCCCGCGUUGUAUUAGCUAGUUGGUGAGGUAAAGGCUCACCAAGGCGAGGAUACAUAGCCGACCUGAGAGGGGAUCGGCCCACUUUGGACCUGGGCACGGGCCAAGACUCUUAGGGAGGGAGCAGUAAGGAAUUUUUCGCAAAGGAGGAAAAGCUGAACGGGGAAAGCCGCGUGAGGGAAGAAGGGUCUCCGAUCGUAAAACCCUGUUGGUUGAGAAGAAAGUAGGGGGGAGGGGAAAGCGCAUGUAGUGACGGUAACUACCCAGAAAGCGACGGCUAACUACGUG
rnacentral:rRNA from 1 species